UUUCCGUAGGUGAACCUGCGGAAGGAUCAUUAAAGUUAUAGUCCCCCGGCCCCUCCGGGCUGGGGUCUUCUAUACCACCCUUUGUUUAUUACACCUUUGUUGCUUUGGCAGGCCUGCCCUCGGGCUGCUGGCUCCGGCCGGCUCGUGCCUGCCAGAGGACCUAAACUCUGUUUGUAUAUGAAGUCUGAGUACUAUAUAAUAGUUAAAACUUUCAACAACGGAUCCCUUGGUUCUG
rnacentral:misc_RNA from 1 species